GUAUAGCUCAGUGGUAAAGUAUUCGAGUGCAGAUUGAGAGGUCUCCGGUUCAAACCAGGGUUUCUCCU
rnacentral:tRNA from 1 species